UGGCAGGUACUGGAAAGAGAGAGAUUUCCAAGGAGCCACGAUCCAGCUCUCAGAUAUUCAAGUCUUUUCAGACCAGGCACCAGAUAGGACCUUGCCAACAUGUGAGAAGGAUGCUGAGGGAAGAGCUUUUGUUCUUGAUGCUGCCAUGGAGACUGAAUUAGCCAACUCUGGAAUCGUCUCCGUCCAGGUUUCUUGUUAUAAAAGAGAGAAGAAACAACUGAGUCAUCCUCAAGUAAGCUCCCCCAGGAUACUAAGGUGCCUCAGUGGAAAAAUACAUGUAGUCUUACAGAACAGUACAACUUAACUCAUCAGUCAAUACCGGACCUUAGAUUUUGGCCUUACAGGGACUCAAAAACUUGUGACCAGGCUAUGACUAGGUUUAUUAAUCCCAAAUCAUUUACAGAAUUGUAUGACCAGCACAGUUCUCCACAUGAUUUGAAUGUUACAUUGGAUUUAAUAUAUCCAACACACUAGCUACUUCUCAGCCUCUGUAGUAGGGCUCACAUGGAGAAGCACUGGAACAAGUUUUUUAAUCUUUUAUUUAGAAACUGAUCUGCGGAACCUUCAGGAGAUUGGUCUCAAGAGACGCAUCUGCCUUCUCGAUGGGAUUGUUGGCCUCUCGUGUUGAAAGGAUCGCAUUUCAGGAGCCAGCAGGUCAUUUCAUCUCAUCCUCUAGUAUCAUCUUACAGGCUCCUAAGCCACAUGAAAGUCACACAUGCCAACUGAUGGCUUACUUUGGUUUUGUCAAAUGGUGGAUACUUAGUCACAGUUUGAAAUGAAAAUACACCUGGUAUGUGCCACCUUAGAAGGUUUAAUUUUUCUCAGGGGUUACAGAAAAAAAAAUAUGUGAUAAGCCAUGGUCAACCGAUGUGUAUUUAAAGUUCACAUUUUAAUGUACUUUAAUUUUUGAUGAAGACUACUGAGAGGAAGGAGCAGCGAAGAAUGAAACAACAAGGUAGGGGCAGAGGAAAGAAAACAGGGCAACAGAAUGAGAUGGAUUGAAAAGAAAACAACCCGCAUGAAACUAGGAUGGGAUUAGCUGAAGUACAGCAGGAGGAGGCUGAAGCAGUGACAAGGGAAAAUGUCUCAGGCAGGCCUGCCACUGCCAUUUCCUCAGGCGAGAGGACAGAGAGGCCCACAUUCCACUCUACAUGUCAAUAUCUAAAGGGGAUACAUGAGACCAGCACACCACAAAGUCAAUUACGGUUUGCCCUCCUCCCUUGACAAAUACAUUCUUAUGACAACAAAACUGAAAAAAAAAAAAAUAAGUAAAGCCAUCACAUCUGAAUUUUGCUAUAUUUUCUCAUAUCUGGGGUUUCUGUUGAUAACCUAGCAGUGUUUGGAUGAGAAGGAAAAUAGAGAUGUGGAUAUAAAAAUUAUUAAUACUUACUCAAUAUGAUUUAUUUUGUGCUUCUACUUCAGGAAUAUUACUAAUUCUAUUAUUAAGAUUUUUAUUUAAUUUGAUAAAAAUAAUUGGCAGAAUCAAAUGAAAUGCAAAAAGUGCACAAAACAAUAACAUAUUUUCGUAAAAAUAAAAACAAAUGAAAUAAUAAAAAAGUAAAAUAAGUAUAUUUUGCAAACUCUUUAUCUUUAAAUAUUCACAAUUAUUUAUAAGCAUAAAUAUUUUAAAUCAAUGAAUAUAAACAUUUAAAGCUACAUUUAUUAUUAUUUCAGAAAUUUAGUUCUAUUUUAGUUAAUAAUUCUAAAAAUUAGAAGCAUAUUAUUCUAGUAUUUAAUGGUUUAUUUGGUUGUCAAAAUUGUCAAAGUCAGGAAUUGGUAGCAACUUAACUGUAAUAUUUAUAUAAACUUAAUAAAACCACAAAUUGUUCAUCCCUGUGUACAAGUGUUGUGAAUAACGACCUAACUCCUGAAUUCCUAUAAAUCCACAACUUGGAACAAGAAGAGAAGUGAGAAAAUGGCAGUACUAGGAACAGAUUAGUAUCUGUUAUCUGAGAUAAAGGAUUUGCCAAGUAAUGAAUUUGUCUUGUCCUUGCAUAAGUUGCUCAAACCCUCCAAAGGCUCCAAAGCAUUGGCCAUCUCUCACAUUAGCUGCAGCACUCACAACUCUCCUUGUAAUCCCUGUGAGGCUGCCUUUCCUCAAAGACAGAGUUAAGACCCAUGGGGACAAUUGCUUUUACCCUAGGGCUUGAACAGGUUUGCAGGUAGAAGAUGAGAAUUCAUGUUCAGAAUGUUUUUUAAAAUCGAACUUUAUAAAAGAAACAUUCAAUUUAACACCUGGUUAAUUAUCAACAAAAAUUAACAUUAAUCAAUUAAAUAAUUGACGUAUCUGUGAUAUCUAUGGUAUUGAUAAGCAAAUUAAUAACUGUUAGAAUUUUGAAACAAAUGGCAUUUGUACGAAGUUGCAAUAAAACUGUAAACUCUUUUCAAAUGUAAAAAGUAACCUCUAAAAAAUUGAGAAAGUAAUUAUAUUCUGGACAGUAAGUCCAGGCAUGACAGAAUAAAGUAAAAAAUCUGGCAUAUUUGAAACCAAAGCAUUAAAGGCUCAUUUGAGGGGGAAAAAAGUAUGUUAUUAUAAUUUUACUGCAUUUAAAAUUAAUGAAAUGUCUUUGUUUUAUCAAGAACUUAGUGGUGGGGAACACAGUUCACGUGAGUAAAUAUACCCAGGUCUGUUCUGUAACUGAGGUCUGAUAUUUACAAGACCUCAAACUUGGAGGAACUUAAUGUAAGCUCUUUCAUUGCCCACGGUUACCUCUGGGUAAAAGGAGGGGCACAUCCUGACAGGUUUCUUCCAAUAAAAGGCAAUUGGAGACUGAGGAGGUACAGACUGCACUCAUUAGCCUUAAGAAGUUAAAUUGCAGGGACUGAAAAUAUGGAUAUGACUCUUGAAUCUUAAAACAACUAGAUAGUAUUCCAUUCACAUCAGCCUUCAAAAUUCCUAAACAAAAGUCAAAAUUUAUUGACCGUUUUUACAGGUGCCUGAAGUAACCGAGCUGAGUUCAGUCAGAUGGCUGUGGGCACCAUCUAUGUAUAGAUGCAGGCUUCAUACAAAUAUACCCCUCUAUCUCUAUAUACUUUAGAUGGCCCAUUAUGGGGAGAAAAUCUGAAAGUCUGAACUCUGAAAGUCUGUAGAAUUUUAUUUUUUGCAUAUACAACUGCCUCAUCGAAAUAUUCUCUUGUAUGCAAAAUAAGCAUUUCAAAUAUAGAACAAAAAUAAUAAAACUCUGCACUAUUCCUCUCUUUAUCUCAUAACCUGCAUCCAAUACGUUGCAAUUUUGGUUAGUUCUACCUUCAAACAGAGCCUUAUUCUAACCAUUGUUUUCAUCUUUCCAGCUCAAACAUUGGCCAAAGCUAUCAUCACUUGUGACCUAUAUUACUGCAAAAUCCUAACUUUUCUGUUCCUGCGUACAGCCUAAUGAAGUUGACUAUCUGUCCAGGAAGCAGAGAGAUUUUUAUAGCAUAAAUUAGGUUUAUUUCUCCCUUGCUUACCACCUACCAGUGAGUUCCAAAUAUAAGUAAAAUAAUAUUAAAAUCACCUACUGACACUCUAAAGGUCCUGUAUGAAAUGAAGGUGGGUAGUAAGAUUUUAUAUAUUGGUUAUAAAUGAAAGCAAUCCAUCUAUGAAGGAUUCUUCUAAUUACAACUCAUAGAUACAAGUCUUGAGGUAGGUAACUGAGAUACUUUGAUUGAUUUGUUUAUUUCAGAUUAUUAAAAUCUGAAAAGGGAGGCAGGCAGCGGGAAGCAGAGAAUCAAGACUUUCUUAUGAUCAAGACUUUCCCAGACUCUCAUUGCUGUUUAUUAAUUUUCUUGUCCUUCUUAAAUGUAUGUUUUAUUUUCUUUUUAAAAAUAUUGAUUAAAGUUAUGCACUAUCAUUAAAUUAAUAAAUAGUACCAAAGGGCUUAGAGUUAAAUAUAAGAAUUUUUUUGCCAUUCUCCAUCCUGUCUUGAUCCCCAGAGGUAACAAUUUUAAGAACUGUAUUAGUUUCUUUAGGUACUCAUGUAUGUGUUUAUAAAUAGUAACUUAUAUUAUUGAUCCUGGAAUUCUCAUUGUUAUGAUUUUGGGUCAAGAUAGUAUUCCACAAAUUUUUUUAAAUAUGUUAGCUUGUGAAAAAAAAUAGAGAAAAAUGUAAAAUUAUGAGACCCCAGAAAUACACAAUGCUGAGAACCCAGAAAUGUGUGAUUCUAGUAUAACUAUUUAUUUAUCAAAUUAAUAUUUAUUAAAAUCCAAUUAUGCGCAAGCUAUAUCUUAGCAUUUUAUAUACAAGUGGAUAUAAUUAGAAUUUUAAAAUAUCAGUAUUAUUCUUCACUGAGAAAAUACAUGAAUAUUGUAUAGAGAUUAUAUCAUUUAAAAUAUAAUGCAACAAUGUAACAACAUAACAAAGCAAUAACUAAUGAAAAUCAACUUUGUUAUCAUAGAAAUAGAAAAACAAAGUUCUUAAUUGUUUUUAAAUUCCAAUUUCUAAACUAUAACCGUGACGUAAAUCUAUUUUCAAUUAUAAAUAGGUGUAGCAAUCACAACAGAAUGAGUAAGCAUAUCUUGCAAUUCUUUUCUUUUGAAAAAUACUGAUUAAAGUUCUGAACUAUUCUUAAAAAUAAUAUAUAGUACCAAAAAAGAACCACGGUGCUUUUUUAUUAUUAAAAAGUAAUGUGUAAUCUUUACUAAAAAGUAUACAAUUAAGAAAGAGAAUAACUAAAAAUCUGCCGAAAUGGAGAAGUCUUUUUAACAAUGCAAUUAACAAAACGUGAAGAAUAUUAUUUUUCUAUAUUAACUAGUAUUAUAAUAUUUAAAGAAAAUGAAAAAAAUCAACUACAUUUUAUAGACUAUUUCCUCUUUCUAGGUAUUAUAAGUAAAAUGAUGCAUUUAAUUAAUCGUAGAAAUUGUAAGAAUGCCAAUAACUUCAUGCAGAAUAUAUUUUAUGCACUUAUGGUCUUUCGUCCCUUACAUACUAAACAUUUUGCACACAUUAUUUCAUUGAUCCUUGUUUUUAAAUUAAAUUUUAAUAAGCCUUAAACUCUCACAAAAUACAUUUUCUAUGUUAUUUCCUACUUAAUACAUAGAUUUUAUUUCUUAUUCAUAGUAGUUGUUCAGAUAUCCUUUGCAUUACCUGAAGAAAACAACAUAGAAUAAAAUAGCAAACAGGUAAAAAACAAAUUAUACAAAGCAUGUGCUAGGAGUUGACCAUGUAAGACUAGCCUGAAAACUUGGGAGCAGUCAUUUGAUAUGAGAUUGUUUAUAAAAGUCUUAGUGGCACAGUGUUGAUUUUCUCUAGAAUUUUGGAGUGGAUAAAUUAAUAUGACAUUGUGUCUUUUUUAUUUUCUGGCACUGAAUUUUACCAUAUUCAUGUAUUGCCAAAUCUAGACAAGUAAAAUAUUCUUUACAGUUUUCUUUUUCAUCACCGAGAGCAAAUUCCUUGCAAAAUCUAAUUGCUUUUAAUUCUAAACACAAUUGAUUCUCAUUAUUUAUGGCUGUUAUGUUUAAUUAAGUUGCCAUGAACCCUAAAUUAGCAAAUACAGAACAAUUGUCCCUAGAGGAAAUACAAGGUUAGGUUCCUGUGAGUCUCUGGUCACAACAUCUUCACCAACCAGUCAAUAAAUAUCUUUGUUUUAUGUAUGUUUAUAUUUAAAGACCUCUUUUUAAAUGUGUAUUAUUGAGUCAUUAAUAUGUAACUCACGCCCAGCAGCAUUAGAACUCAUGCCUGAAUGAAGCUCAUUUUGUGUGUAUUUUCUCCAGAAAGCUCACUGCAGCCUUCUUGUGCUUAGGGAUGCUAGACAGCCCUUUUGCACUAUGCUUUGGGCCAUUUUAAGCACCAAAAUCA